rnacentral:rRNA from 2 species
AACGAACGCUGGCGGCAUGCCUAACACAUGCAAGUCGAACGAUCCCUUCGGGGAUAGUGGCGCACGGGUGCGUAACGCGUGGGAACCUGCCCUUAGGUUCGGAAUAACUGAGAGAAAUUUCAGCUAAUACCGGAUAAUGUCUUCGGACCAAAGAUUUAUCGCCUUUGGAUGGGCCCGCGUUGGAUUAGCUAGUUGGUGGGGUAAAGGCCUACCAAGGCGACGAUCCAUAGCUGGUCUGAGAGGAUGAUCAGCCACACUGGGACUGAGACACGGCCCAGACUCCUACGGGAGGCAGCAGUGGGGAAUAUUGGACAAUGGGGGAAACCCUGAUCCAGCAAUGCCGCGUGAGUGAUGAAGGCCUUAGGGUUGUAAAGCUCUUUUACCAGGGAUGAUAAUGACAGUACCUGGAGAAUAAGCUCCGGCUAACUCCGUG